CUUGCCUUUGACCAGUUUUUUAGACGACCCAUUGACGAAAAGCUUCUUUCACACGUAGCAGAACUCAUAGGAAUUGUAACUGACUGAAGAAUUUAUUAUCUAUCUGACUGCACCGAUAUUGUUGAUGUUACAUACCUAAUAUUUGAUAUAAGUAAUCAUCACAAACCAUUUGUGUUUCUGCUGAAAACAUCAAAUAGACAAACCCCUACAA